rnacentral:rRNA from 1 species
AUUGAACGCUGGCGGCAGGCCUAACACAUGCAAGUCGAGCGAGCGGCGGACGGGUGAGUAAUGUCUGGGAAACUGCCUGAUGGAGGGGGAUAACUACUGGAAACGGUAGCUAAUACCGCAUACCCUCAGAUGUGCCCAGAUGGGAUUAGCUAGUAGGUGGGGUAACGGCUCACCUAGGCGACGAUCCCUCGCUGGUCUGAGAGGAGGACACGCCACACUGGAACUGAGAAACGGUCCAGACUCCUACGGGAGGCAGAAGUGGGGAAUAUUGCACAAUGGGCGCAAGCCUGAUGCAGCCAUGACGCGUGUGUGAAGAAGGCCUUGGGGUUGUAAAGCACUUUCAGCGGGGAGGCGGUAGGCGAAGAAGAAGCACCGGCUAACUCCGUGCCAGCAGCCGCGGUAAUUG